AAACAGAAAUGACGUCUCGAGGCUAUGGUGAUGGGAGGGAGGAUGGAUUCCAGAGAAAUUUGGGAAACAGAUCCACAGGAUUUGACGUGGAAGGUAAAGAGGGGCAUGUUGACGACUCUCCAGUAUGAAUUCGCUGAUGAUGAGCUAAGUGAGCAGUUUGCCUGAAGACUUUUCUGCUUUUCUUAUAGUUAUAAGAUCUCUCUCCAGUAUGAACUCUCUUAUGUUGAUUAAGGUGUCCAAUUUGGAUGAAGGUUUUCCUACAUUCCUUACAUUCAGCUUUGCCACACACACUGCAUUCAUAAGGUUUUUCUCCAGUAUGACUUCUGCGAUGACAAAUAAGGGAGGAUUUUGUCUUGAAUGCCUUUCCACACUCAAUACAUUCAUAAGGUCUUUGGCCAGUGUGCAGUCUUUGAUGUUGAGUACAGGAUGAGUUAUCACCAAAGGCCUUCCCACAUUCCAUACAUUUAUAGGGUUUCUCACCAGUGUGAACUCUCUGAUGUUGAAUGAGGUGUGUGGUCUGGCUGAAGGCUUUACCGCAUUCCUUGCACUCAUAUGGUUUCUCUCCUGUAUGGGUUUUCUGAUGCUGUGCAAGGUGAGCCUUCUGGGUGAACGCUUUACUACAAACCUUACAUUCAUAGGGCUUCUCUCCAGUAUGGAUUCUCUGAUGAGUGGCAAGCUGAGAACUGAUGCUGAAGGAUUUUCCACACUCCGCACAUUCAAAAGGCUUCUCCCCAGUAUGAAUCCUUAAAUGACUGGCAAGGUGUAUAUUCUGCCUAAAAGCUUUUCCGCACUCUUUACACUUAAAAGGCUUUUCUCCAGAAUGUACUCUUUGAUGUUGAGUGAGUGAUGCAUGAUGGCUGAAGGCUUUUCUGCAAACAUCACAUUCAUAUGGUUUUUCUCCGGUAUGAAUCCUUUGAUGUACAGUAAGGGAGGAACCAUACCUGAAGGAUUUGUGACAUACAUCACAUUUGUAAGGUUUCUCUCCAGUAUGAAUUCUCCUGUGUUGAUUAAGCCCUAUGUGGUCACUGAAGGCUUUCCCACAAUCGAUGCAAUCAAAGGGUUUCUCCCCAGUAUGAUAGUAUCUCCAGUGACGGAUAAGGGAUGUGUUCUGUAUGAAAGCUUUCCCACACUCAAUGCACUCAUAGGGCUUCUUGCCAGUGUGACAUCUCUGGUGUCGGGCAAAGGAUGAGCCGUCACUAAAGGCCUUCCCACAUUCAUUACAUUUAUAAGGUUUC
rnacentral:lncRNA from 1 species